UCAGGACGAACGCUGGCGGCGUGCCUAAUACAUGCAAGUCGAACGGUCUUUCUAUGGAAGCUUGCUUCCACUGAAAAGAUAGUGGCGAACGGGUGAGUAACACGUGGGUAACCUGCCCAUAAGAGGGGGGAUAACAUCCGGAAACGGGUGCUAAUACCGCAUAGUUUUCUUGAUCGCAUGAUCGGGAAAGGAAAGACGGCCUUUGUGCUGUCGCUUAUGGAUGGACCCGCGGCGUAUUAGUUAGUUGGUGAGGUAACGGCUCACCAAGACGAUGAUACGUAGCCGACCUGAGAGGGUGAUCGGCCACAUUGGGACUGAGACACGGCCCAAACUCCUACGGGAGGCAGCAGUAGGGAAUCUUCCGCAAUGGACGAAAGUCUGACGGAGCAACGCCGCGUGAGUGAAAGAAGGUUUUCGGAUCGUAAAACUCUGUUGUCAGAGAAGAACAAGUUGGAGAGUAACUGCUCCAGCCUUGACGGUAUCUGACCAGAAAGCCACGGCUAACUACGUGCCAGCCGCCGC
rnacentral:rRNA from 1 species